rnacentral:lncRNA from 1 species
UCAUAAAUGCCGCUGUUAGACUACACCUUUACCUUAUUCUGUCAUUAUGCACUCUCUAACUCGUUUUCAUGCUUUUCUAUGAAUACAGAGUAGCGGAGAUUCUGGUGCUAACGUUAAGCGGCUUGAGAAAGAGACUGAUGAAAAAAUUGCUCACCUGAAAACAGAGGCUGGAAGAAUAUCGGAUGAUGUUGUCACUAUGCUCCUCAAGUAUGUAACAACAGUCAAAAACUAGGACUGUGGAUGUUAUAUCCGUGCUGCAAACUCCUAAACUGUGUUGAUUAUUAUUCUGAGUUUAUUGUUGACUCUAGAUAUUUUGUUGCAAUUUGCUUGAUGUAUUCAAAACAAUUAUUUUGUUUGUUAAAAUAAACAGUUCAGAAUUUGAGGACAUUUCUAUUUGUGUUACCCUUUAACAAGGUGUGUGAAGACUAGUUCUGUCCGUGCAUAUGAAGUAAAGUCGGAGUAUGUGGUUUAUUUGUUUUGUAAACUCCCUCUCCGAUUAUUUCUUAAUAAGUAGAAGCAUCAAUAAUUAGUCAUAUUUAUAAAAACCAUGAGUUCUUAGUCUGAAUGUAAAUUUGUUAGAACUGGUAUUGAAUUUAGGAAGAAUCUAGAACGAACACACACGAAGUCCCUAAAUCCUAUGCUUUUAUUGAUUUAAAAAAGGAUUACAAGAUUGAGAAGAAAAAGUAGAAUCUUCCUAAUUAAUUUCAAAUCAGUUAGCUAACCACUUCUUACUCCAAAACUGCUUUUACACUAGCCCUCCCCACCUUUUAUACAAUUCCUAUCCUAACUACCACUUCAAGAAUCUGUUACUUCCCUCCUAAGUGCCACGUUGGCGCCUUUGGUACACUUUAGUAAUAGGGGUUUUUGGCCUACUCCUUAUUUUGUCAAUACUCUCUAUUCUAUCAAGAUUUCUGAUUGAACAUAGAAGUAAUGACCAUAUUAUGAAGAAAGCCUCUGAUCCAAUCAGUUAAACAUUACGUAGACAAAGUGGUACAUUUAUUAUAUGUCCUUUGUAUGACAAUUGAACCAAUCCUUUUUGAGAGAAAACUUGCUACUCCAAUCGAGCAUUUCAUAGAAUGGCUGAAUUUCACGAUCCUUUGACAUGAUCAUCAUGACUUAUCUUUUUAUUCGACUGCUAACACUUCACAAAGUGAUUAUGGUUUCGAGCUUCUCCUAGGCACUUGCUCAGUGGCGCAGCUGCCAUAUAAGCAAACAAGAACAUAAGAGAGACAUACCCUAAAGUUGAAGCUCAACACUAUUUUGUUUGUUCAUAACAAUUUGAAAAUAGAAAAUAAAAUAAAAAUGAACCAUCCCUUGCAAAAAAUAUAUCAAUCGACCUAAAAGCAACAAAAAAAACCACACACCCUAUAAGACCUCCUAUGAGUCUCUCAUUGGACAAAAAUAUACAUGUUAUUCUUGGUCCUGAUUCCCUCUUAAGCCAUACUUGAGAAACUAAUAUCUUGAGAUGUAGACACAUACGAGAUCAUAUGUCUCAUUUUUUGUGUCCUAAUGAUGUUCCAAUCCAAUGAAAGAAUAUUACCUAAUUAAAAAGAAAAUUCGUAAAAAUAGAAAUUAAAUUUUUUUAUAUUACUUGGUGGAAUGUGAUUGACUUGGAAUAUUAGAGAUGUAAUCUUUAUUCCAUAUUUAAGUUUGGAUCUUGUUUUGUUAUCCAUACACAUAAAUCUAGAUAUUAAACCGAGGAUCACAUGCUUAAGAGAUUUAAAACCUUGAUCAACAUAUAUUAGUAACCAUGCUCCUUUUCUAUCAUACUAAUGAAACAAAUAUCUAGGUAUUAAGAAUAUUUCAUUGCUGCGAAAAAUGGUUUCUGUUUACUUCUUUUUCAUGUCUGCCAGUGUUUUUGCUUUGAAUACUUCUGAUUCGUUGUCUACAUAUGCCUCUCCAUUAAAAUUUUAUGCCGUACUAAGCCACUUAUGUAAAAGGAGAUUUGUUCUCCCCCUAUAUUUUUUGUUUUAGUUUUUGCAUUGGUCUUUUAAAUUUACCUGCAAGGGAAAGAUGAGUUCUUGGUUUUAUGAUGGGCAACGGAUAUCUCCUGAUAUAUGAUGGAACUGAUUAUCAUAUUGAAAAUUAUUGCUAUAUUACUACUUGUAUAGUUUAUCACAACUUUCUUUUGUUUGUACACUAAUCAGUGUGAUACUCUGCAUCUCCAAUGUCAGAAAAACUGGCUAGGUUGAAACAGGCCAAGGAAGAGGCUGAAAAGGAGAUUGCAGAAUACCGAGCUCAGCUUGAGCGUGAGUUUCAAAAGAAAGUUUCUGACGUAAGUCCAAGAUUAAUUUCAUAAAUGCCGCUGUUAGACUACACCUUUACCUUAUUCUGUCAUUAUGCACUCUCUAACUCGUUUUCAUGCUUUUCUAUGAAUACAGAGUAGCGGAGAUUCUGGUGCUAACGUUAAGCGGCUUGAGAAAGAGACUGAUGAAAAAAUUGCUCACCUGAAAACAGAGGCUGGAAGAAUAUCGGAUGAUGUUGUCACUAUGCUCCUCAAGUAUGUAACAACAGUCAAAAACUAGGACUGUGGAUGUUAUAUCCGUGCUGCAAACUCCUAAACUGUGUUGAUUAUUAUUCUGAG